GGCCGGAUAUGUUGAGGUGGUUCAAAGCAACGGUCACAGCGUGUCUUUGUCAUUUGGGGCGGUGAGUGAUUGUAGGAGGAAGGGAAGGUUGCCACCUCUUUCCUUGAGGAGUCCAGAGACACAGAGGGGCAGAGCCGCGCCGCAUGGAGUGGGCGCUAGGGAGGGAGGGACUGCUCCCUUCUCCGGAGGGCCGCAGGGCUGCUCCUCCGGAGCCUCCUCCGGCCCUGGCACCGGCCCCGGCCGCUCUGCCUCGCCAGAACACGAAAACCCUCCCCCGCCGGGGCUGGAGACACUCGGCUUUCUAUCUGCAGCAUCAGCGAGAAAGCCCAGCUCGGCGCAGGCUCAGUGCUCACCGCCGCAGUCCCGGACGGAGGAGGGGGGUUCGGGAGAGCAGCAUCUUCCCAGCGGGUUAAGUAGGAUUAAUACCAAAUCCCCAUUAUAUUUGCCAAGCAACUUGAAUUUGUCAAAAUUCCCCCUCGCUGUUCUGGAGCUCUGUGAGGAAGAAAUUUUGCUCACAGUGUAAGAUCCAGACGUGCCAGUAGGUAGGAAUACCAGCAUACUGCAUUACACCGGCUCCCUGGGCUGGAAAUACAACUGCGAACCGCAGGUCCCGCUGUUCCCGUCCCUUUGUGUUUUUAAACGCAGUCAGGAAACUUAAUGUAUUCGCCAGGGAAGGGGCGGGAUGAGAGCGCUUUUAACCUCCCCGCCAUAAACUUUAAUCGGAUUCCAGGCUGUUGCACGGCAUGGACGCUCCCCUUCUUGCCUGCGUCUCCUUCCCCGUUGUUUCUACUACGAUCUCCUUGCGAGUGCCUCUUUCAAGCGAAUGAGUGAUUUCUUUCUCUUGCCAUGUGCAAUUGCUCCCCCUUCCUUUCCUACCCUCGCUGGCCUCUCUUACACACACUAUGCCUUUCACACGCGGUCUGCGCCCCCCAGUCCCCCCCUCCUUUCCUUCUUUUUUGCAGUGUCUUCACAUGCAAUCUCUCUCUGAAUGUGCAAUGUCUUUCCUGCUCGGGAGUGCUGCGUCCUUCACAGUGGAUUGGUUCCUCUUUCGGAGCAGAGUUCACAAUUUUCCAGCAUGCUUCUUAUGGUGAAAGAAACUCAUUUCAAAGGAAGGAAGAAAGGAAGAAGAAAUAUCUCUUUCAAGUGUUGCUGGAAGGAGUGGCUCAAUGUUCUAAAGAUGAUGGAAAUGUCUGA
rnacentral:lncRNA from 1 species